rnacentral:rRNA from 1 species
AUUGAACGCUGGCGGCGUGCCUAACACAUGCAAGUCGAGCGGUAACAGGUGUAGCAAUACAUGCUGACGAGCGGCGAACGGGUGAGUAAUGCUUUGGAAUCUUCCCAGUAGUGGGGAAUAACCAGUCGAAAGAUUGGCUAAUACCGCAUACGUCUGUAAAGGGAAAGCGGGGGCUCGUAAGACCUCGCGCUAUUGGAUGAGCCAAAGUCGGAUUAGCUAGUUGGGGGGUAAUGGCCUACCAAGGCGACAAUCCGUAGCUGGUCUGAGAGGACGACCAGCCACACCGGAACUGAGACACGGUCCGGACUCCUACGGGAGGCAGCAGUGGGGAAUAUUGGACAAUGGGGGAAACCCUGAUCCAGCGACGCCGCGUGUGUGAAGAAGGCCUGCGGGUUGUAAAAGCACUUUUAGUGGGGACAAAAAGCUACGGAUUAAUACUCUGUGGUCUU